GGGAGGGCGCUAACUGCAGUCGAGCGGAUGAGAGGAGCUUGCUCCUCAAUUCAGCGGCGGACGGGUGAGUAAUGCCUAGGAAUCUGCCUAGUAGUGGGGGACAACGUUUCGAAAGGAACGCUAAUACCGCAUACGUCCUACGGGAGAAAGUGGGGGAUCUUCGGACCUCAAGCUAUUAGAUGAGCCUAGGUCGGAUUAGCUAGUUGGUAGGGUAAAGGUCUACCAAGGGGACCAUCCGUAACUGGGCUGAGAGGAUGAUCCGUCCCACGGGAACUGAGAGACGGUCUGGACUCCUACGGGAGGAAGACUUGGGGAAUAUUGCACCUUGCGCCAAAGUGUGAUCCAGACAU
rnacentral:rRNA from 1 species